GCCCAAGUGGAUAGUGCAGUUGGUUAGAGCAUGGUGCUGAUAAUGCCAAGGUUGUAGGUUCGAUCCCCGUAUGGGACA